UACAUGGGGUGCAAACGUUGCUCGGAAUUAUUGGGCGUAAAGCGCGCGUAGGCGGUUAUCUAAGUCGGAUGUGAAAGCCCUCGGCUUAACUGAGGAAGUGCACCCGAAACUGAGUAGCUAGAGUACUAAAGAGGGUCGCGGAAUUCCCGGUGUAGAGGUGAAAUUCGUAGAUAUCGGGAGGAACACCGGUGGCGAAGGCGGCGACCUGGGUAGAUACUGACGCUGAGGCGCGAAAGCGUGGGGAGCAAACAGG
rnacentral:rRNA from 1 species